rnacentral:rRNA from 1 species
UGGCGGCGUGCCUAACACAUGCAAGUCGAACGGGAAUCUUCGGAUUCUAGUGGCGGACGGGUGAGUAACGCGUAAGAAUCUAACUUCAGGACGGGGACAACAGUUGGAAACGACUGCUAAUACCCGAUGUGCCGCAAGGUGAAAACUAAUUGGCCUGAAGAAGAGCUUGCGUCUGAUUAGCUAGUUGGUGGGGUAAGAGCCUACCAAGGCGACGAUCAGUAGCUGGUCUGAGAGGAUGAGCAGCCACACUGGGACUGAGACACGGCCCAGACUCCUACGGGAGGCAGCAGUGGGGAAUUUUCCGCAAUGGGCGAAAGCCUGACGGAGCAACGCCGCGUGAGGGAGGAAGGUCUUUGGAUUGUAAACCUCUUUUCUCAAGGAAGAAGUUCUGACGGUACUUGAGGAAUCAGCCUCGGCUAACUCCGUGCCAGCAGCCGCGGUAAUACGGGGGAGGCAAGCGUUAUCCGGAAUUAUUGGGCGUAAAGCGUCCGCAGGUGGUCAGCCAAGUCUGCCGUCAAAUCAGGUUGCUUAACGACCUAAAGGCGGUGGAAACUGGCAGACUAGAGAGCAGUAGGGGUAGCAGGAAUUCCCAGUGUAGCGGUGAAAUGCGUAGAGAUUGGGAAGAACAUCGGUGGCGAAAGCGUGCUACUGGGCUGUAUCUGACACUCAGGGACGAAAGC